rnacentral:tRNA from 1 species
AGGCCCGUAGCUCUAACAGGCAGAGCGGCGGUCUCCAAAACCGCGGGUUGGGGGUUCGAAUCCCUCCGGGCCUGCCA